GUGGGGAAUUUUGGACAAUGGGCGCAAGCCUGAUCCAGCAAUGCCGCGUGUGUGAAGAAGGCCUUCGGGUUGUAAAGCACUUUUGGCAGGAAAGAAAUAGUGCGUGCUAAUACCAUGCGCGAAUGACGGUACCUGCAGAAUAAGCACCGGCUAACUACGUGCCAGCAGCCGCGGUAAGACGUAGGGUGCAAGCGUUAAUCGGAAUUACUGGGCGUAAAGCGUGCGCAGGCGGUUUUGUAAGACAGGUGUGAAAUCCCCGGGCUCAACCUGGGAACUGCACUUGUGACUGCAAGGCUAGAGUGUGUCAGAGGGAGGUGGAAUUCCGCGUGUAGCAGUUAAAUGCGUAGAGAUGCGGAGGAACACCGAUGGCGAAGGCAGCCUCCUGGGAUAACACUGACGCUCAGGCACGAAAGCGUGGGGAGCAAACAGGAUUAGAUACCCCAGUAGUCC
rnacentral:rRNA from 1 species